rnacentral:rRNA from 1 species
UACAGAGGUGGCAAGCGUUGUUCGGAAUUACUGGGCGUAAAGGGCGCGUAGGCGGUCUUGUAAGUCUUGUGUGAAAUCCCUCGGCUUAACUGAGGAACUGCACGGGAUACUGCAUGACUUGAGAUCGGGAGAGGGAAGCGGAAUUCCGGGUGUAGCGGUGAAAUGCGUAGAUAUCCGGAGGAACACCGGUGGCGAAGGCGGCUUCCUGGACCGACACUGACGCUGAGGUGCGAAAGCGUGGGGAGCAAACAGG